CCUACGGGAGGCAGCAGUGAGGAAUAUUGGUCAAUGGGCGGAAGCCUGAACCAGCCAAGUCGCGUGAGGGAAUAAGGCCCUACGGGUCGUAAACCUCUUUUGCCGGGGAGCAAGGGCCGGGACGAGUCCCGGUCCGGAGAGUACCCGGAGAAAACGCAUCGGCUAACUCCGUGCCAGCAGGCGCGGUAAUACGGGGGAUGCGGGCGUUAUCCGGAUUUAUUGGGUUUAAAGGGUGCGUAGGCGGGCUUUUAAGUCAGCGGUAAAAAUUCGGGGCUCAAACCCGUCCGGCCGUUGAAACUGGGGGCCUUGAGUGGGCGAGAAGAAGGCGGAAUGCGUGGUGUAGCGGUGAAAUGCAUAGAUAUCACGCAGAACCCCGAUUGCGAAGGCAGCCUUCCGGCGCCCUACUGACGCUGAGGCACGAAAGUGCGGGGAUCGAACAGGAUUAGAUACCCCAGUAGUC
rnacentral:rRNA from 1 species